GACGAACGCUGGCGGCGUGCUUAACACAUGCAAGUCGAACGGAAAGGCCUGCUUUCCCUUGUGGAUUGCGGGUACUCGCGUGGCGAACGGGUGAGUAACACGUGAGUGAUCUGCCCCCAACUUGGGUAUAAGCCUGGGAAACUGGGUCUAAUUCCCGAUAGGACUGCAGGGUGGUGCCUGUGGUGGAAAACGAUUCUCUAGUGGUUGGGGAUGAGCUCGCGGCCUAUCAGCUUGUUGUUGGGGUAAUGGCCUACCAAGGCGGCGACGGGUAGCCGGCCUGGGAGGGUGGACGGCCACAUUGGGACUGGGAUACGGCCCAGACGCCGACGGGAGGCAGCAGUGGGGAAUAAUGGACGAUGGGCGGAAGCCUGAUGCAGCGACGCCGCGUGGGGGAUGACGGCCUUCGGGUUGUAAACUCCUGUGGACAGCGAGGAAGCCACCUGGUUGGAAGGGUGGUGACGGUAGUGGUAGAAGAAGCACCGGCUAACUACGUG
rnacentral:rRNA from 1 species